rnacentral:rRNA from 1 species
UGGGGAAUCUUCCGCUAUGGACGAAAGUCUGACGGAGCAACGCCGCGUGAGUUUUGACUUUCUUCGGGUUGUAAAGCUCUGUUAAUCGGGACGAAAGGCCUUCUUGCGAAUAGUUAGAAUUUUUGACGGUACCGGAAUAGAAAGCGACGGCUAAUUACGUGCCAGCAGCCGCGAUAAUACUUGGGUGGCAAGCGUUGUCCGGAAUUAUGGGGCGUAAAGCGCGCGCGGGCUGUUUGCUCAGUCUGUCUAACAAGCUCGGUGCUCAACCCCGGGAUGUUAGGCAAACUGCAAAUAUCUAUAAUCGCAGAGGAAAGUGGAAUUCCUAGCGUAGCUGUUAAAUGCGANUAUCUUAGGAAGAACACCAUUCGCGAAGGCUACUUUCUGGACGAAGACNGACGCUGAGGCGCGAAAGCUANGUUAGCCAACGGGAGUGGNUAANNAAAAUAGUCCUGGCCGNNNNUNUACAANNNUANGNGUAGGGAAGANNCGACCCCCUUCUGUGCCGGGAGUUUAACCGCAAUAAGUACCCCGCCUGGGGAAGUACGACCGCAAGNUUG